rnacentral:rRNA from 1 species
AUUGAACGCUGGCGGCAGGCCUAACACAUGCAAGUCGAACGAGUGGCGGACGGGUGAGUAAUGUCUGGGAAACUGCCCGAUGGAGGGGGAAAACUACUGGAAACGGUAGCUAAUACCGCAUACCAUCGGAUGAACCCAGAUGGGAUUAGCUAGUAGGUGGGGUAAUGGCGCACCUAGGCGACGAUCCCUAGCUGGUCUGAGAGGAUGAACAGCCACACUGGAACGGAGAAACGGCCCAGACUCCUACGGGAGGCAGCAGUGGGGAAUAUUGCACAAUGGGCGCAAGCCGGAUGCAGCCAUGCCGCGUGUAUGAAGAAGGCCUUCGGGUUGUAAAGUACUUUCAGCGAGGAGGCGUUACUCGCAGAAGAAGCACCGGCUAACUCCGUGCCAGCAGCCGCGGUAAUAC